GCGUCGUAUGAAAGAUCGCUGUCGCAGCACACACACAGAAAGCAUUUAGCUUUCACAUUCUCGCUGUGGGGAAAGUCCCCGGAGACACAGAGUGCCACCUUCUUACCCGGAACGGAAAGCGCCCAGCUUCAAAUUUGCUGAGGGGGGUGAGAUAGGUCGGGCGAAGCCGAUUUUACUGGGCCUCACUUGCAUGGGGCCAGUUCCGUUUGCCCACUCUGUCGCUAGCUUGAAGUUGGGCGGCUCUAUCACGGGCGUAUUCAUGCGAAGAUAUGAGCAUGUUUCCGCUUGGGCUGUUCGAUGAAUGGCUAGCUCUUCGUUGCUCAUAGAUAUAGUGAUGCGAUCGUUGGUGUUUGCCCUUCUGGCCGCCUUCAACUCAAUGGGGCUUAAUCUCAUCCGACG
rnacentral:RNase_MRP_RNA from 2 species